rnacentral:rRNA from 1 species
UCGACGUAAGAUGACUGUAGGUGAAAGCUUACAUCUCUUCGGAGCAUUUUACGAGGUGCUGCAUGGUUGUCGUCAGCUCGUGCCGUGAGGUGUCGGGUUAAGUCCCAUAACGAGCGCAACCCUACCUUUAGUUGCCAUCAGGUAAUGCUGGGGACUCUAAAGGAACUGCCUACGCAAGUAGUGAGGAAGGCGGGGAUGACGUCAAAUCAGCACGGCCCUUACGUCCAGGGCUACACACGUGCUACAAUGGCCGAUACAGAGGGCAGCUACCUGGUGACAGGAUGCAAAUCUCCAAAGUCGGUCUCAGUUCGGAUCGGAGUCUGCAACCCGACUCCGUGAAGUUGGAUUCGCUAGUAAUCGCGCAUCAGCCAUGGCGCGGUGAAUACAUUCCCGGGCCUU